rnacentral:rRNA from 1 species
CAAAAAAAAUUCUGUCUCUUAAAAAAUAAUUGAAUUUAACUUUUAAGUGAAAAGGCUUAAAUUUUUUAAAGGGACGAUAAGACCCUAUAAAGUUUAAUAAGAAUUCUUUUAUAAAAGAAAAAGUUAUAAAUUUAUAAAAUUAAAAUUUUUAUUUUACUGGGGCGGUACAGAUAUAAGUAAGUUAAAAACUGUCAGAAUAAUAAACAUUAAUAAAUGAAUAUAAUGAUCCUAAAUAAAGAUUAUAAAAACAAGUUACUUUAGGGAUAACAGCUUAAUUUUUUUUAAGAGUUCAUAUCGAAAAAAAAGUUUGAGACCUCGAUGUUGAAUUAAAAUAACUCUUUGUAGUGCAGCAGCUACAAGUAGAGGGUCUGUUCGACCCUUUAAAUAA